rnacentral:rRNA from 1 species
UCCGUAGGUGAACCUGCGGAAGGAUCAUUACCGAGUUGAUUCGAGCUCCGGCUCGACUCUCCCACCCAACGUGUACCUACCUCUGUUGCUUUGGCGGGCCGCGGUCCUCCGCACCGGCGCCCUUCGGGGGGCUGGCCAGCGCCCGCCAGAGGACCAUAAAACUCCAGUCAGUGAACUUUGCAGUCUGAGAAACAAGUUAAUAAACUAAAACUUUCAACAACGGAUCUCUUGGUUCUGGCAUCGAUGAAGAACGCAGCGAAAUGCGAUAAGUAAUGUGAAUUGCAGAAUUCAGUGAAUCAUCGAAUCUUUGAACGCACAUUGCGCCCCUUGGUAUUCCGAGGGGCAUGCCUGUUCGAGCGUCAUUUCAACCCUCAAGCUCUGCUUGGUAUUGGGCUCCGUCCUCCACGGACGCGCCUUAAAGACCUCGGCGGUGGCGUCUUGCCUCAAGCGUAGUAGAAAACACCUCGCUUUGGAGCGCACGGCGUCGCCCGCCGGACGAACCUUUGAAUUAUUUCUCAAGGUUGACCUCGGAUCAGGUAGGGAUACCCGCUGAACUUAAGCAUAUCAAUAAGCGGAGGA